UUCCGUAGGUGAACCUGCGGAGGGAUCAUUACACAAAUAUGAAGGCGGGCUGGAACCUCUCGGGGUUACAGCCUUGCUGAAUUAUUCACCCUUGUCUUUUGCGUACUUCUUGUUUCCUUGGUGGGUUCGCCCACCACUAGGACAAACAUAAACCUUUUGUAAUUGCAAUCAGCGUCAGUAACAAAUUAAUAAUUACAACUUUCAACAACGGAUCUCUUGGUUCUGGCAUCGAUGAAGAACGCAGCGAAAUGCGAUAAGUAGUGUGAGUUGCAGAAUUCAGUGAAUCAUCGAAUCUUUGAACGCACAUUGCGCCCUUUGGUAUUCCAAAGGGCAUGCCUGUUCGAGCGUCAUUUGUACCCUCAAGCUUUGCUUGGUGUUGGGCGUCUUGUCUCUAGCUUUGCUGGAGACUCGCCUUAAAGUAAUUGGCAGCCGGCCUACUGGUUUCGGAGCGCAGCACAAGUCGCACUCUCUAUCAGCAAAGGUCUAGCAUCCAUUAAGCCUUUUUUUCAACUUUUGACCUCGGAUCAAGUAGGGAUACCCGCUGAACUUAAGCAUAUCAAUAAGCGGAGGAAAUCAC
rnacentral:rRNA from 1 species